GCUCAGAUAGUGUAAUGGCCAGCACGUCAGGUAUAUACCCUGGAAAUCUCAGUUCGAAUCUGAGUCUGAGCA